CACACACACACACACACAUACACACAUACACACAUACACACAUACACACACGCGCGCGGGAGAAGAGAAAACACCCCGGUGGUUCAUAUAGACGGUGUAGGACGUGAUUAUAGCAAUUUGCGAGCUGACCAGGAAAUAAGUUGAGGCGCCGUUGAUCCGCUAGAUUUGGUUGGAUGCUGGUGGUGAGUUGCUGAACCCAACGAAUACAUUCUGAAGUCGGAUGGGGUGAACGGAUUAGGGUGCCCCUCUAUCAGGGGAGAGCAGGGACUGCCUCGGGAAGGAGGCCACUGGUGAAGCUGUACCACCCUGUAACAACAACAGCAACAACAAUACUCCCACUACAUGUCAUUGCAAGGUACUGCCACUCAUAGACACUAGUUGGGGCUCUGCAGGUAAAACCCUUUGCGCAACCCCUUAGGAACCCUUUGCCAUCCCUUUCUUCACAUACCCCCAUUCCCCCGUAACCCAAACGUUUCCCUCUUUUCCCUGUGAGUAACCCCUCCCCCUCCACACACGCACACGCACGCAGAUCCCCCGCCUCGUCCCACAAUCCACCCCCAGCACACACAUACACACAAUCCUCGGUUCCCAAGCCUUCCAACCCUUCCCCCCUUCCGUACCUCUGAAACCACGACAGUACGACAUUACCUAGGAGGUUUCCGAGGUGAAGGGAGUCCGCAGUGGGAUCGAAUCCGCAGUAAACGGACAGCGGCCCCUCCGCCCCCCCCCCCAGCCGCCUCCAGCUCCGGCCCCCCCGUCACUUCCUGGACCAGCCCCCUGGAGCGAAGCAGUGCAACUACAUUGGGUCGCCCUCCAUGGUGGCCGCCGGGGGGUGCGGGGGUCGAUGUGGUGGUGGUGUAAGCACUGCUGGAGGCGGUGACGGUGGAGGUGGUGGAGGCUUCUGGGUCCAGAGGUAGCGGGGGAAAGGGCGGAAAGAGGUGCAUGCGUGGGGGUGAGAGUGGUGAGGGUGAGGAUGUCGGCGCACGACGUAAAUGUGACAACCCACCUGCGGAAAGGGGGCCCGCUGUAGCUGUUUCAGUAACCUCAGCAGAGGCUGAGCAGGGGGUAUUGGGUGAAAGCUUGCUGCUUUAAAAGGGCGCUGGGCGUCGCCGUUGGUUCAGUCCCGUCCUGUGCAUGGGUCAGUUGGAAGUCAUCGCACGUCGGCAUACUGUCGUUGUAAUCGAUAAUAGAGGUAUGGCAGAUCGAGUAGCGGAACACAUCACGUGAUUGGAUGGGAUAUCUUUGGUCUAUACAAAAAUGUUCACCUUGCCGGGCGAGAUGCAUGUCGUUGUUGCAGAAGCAUCGUUCCUUGGGAUGUACUAAAUAAAAGGAAUGGCGAUGAACUUGGUUUGACUGCAGUCAUGAUACAAAUGAAAUGCAAGCACAGCCGGUUGCCCGUAUGGACGAGCUGACCUUUCGCCACAAGAUGGACAUCCAAAGAGACCUAACGUAUUGGAUCAGGGCCGGCUAAGUACCUACUUCCAUAUUACAUGCUGUGAAAUUGCAAUUGCGCACGUUCCUUGAUGCAGUUUAGAAUAACGCGAAUUGGACUCAGGUAUUGGGAUGAAAUGAUAAGAUUACAAAUUACAGUAUUACCAUAAUGAUGUCCCUAGUGCUUGCGGGCAGGCCUGGCCUCAGCGCUAUAUGUCGGCAACCGUCGGCGCUGGCGCUGUUUCACGCAGCAGCGCCGUUGCCCCAGUUACUUGAUGACGCGAUUUCGGUACUAGAAGCUGCGAGGUUACGCAACUCUGGGCAUGUCCAGACAUCCAUUUCAACCGCGACCAUCAGACUUCGGACGACGCGCGGAACCCCAUCGUCGGAACAACUGCUUGCUUUCAGAUCAUGUGUGGUGACCUCAGCUGAUAUCCAAAGCAUUCUAGACUUUCCCCGCAACGUCCCUGGAACUCCGCUCACAGCCGGCCUCCGGCAGCUGUCCGCCUUCAACGACAUCCCGGUCUCACAUCUGACACAGGCGGUCCCACAACCGCCUAUCGCAACAACCAUUCCAUGUUAUUCAUUAUCGGUAUCUCAAGAGACCUGCGACCCCAAGAAGCAGUUAACAUGCAAUGGUCACUCCGCAUCGCCACACCCUUCCUUUGACCGUCAAAUGGCGCGGCGACCCCACCUCCAAGCACAGCUACCCAACCCAUCACCACGUCAACACUCAUCCUCAAAGGGCGCCAAAACCACAUCCUGGGCGCUACACGGAUCCAGCUUUCCGUCCCCCCUACCACGGUCAACGCUGCUUAUGUCGCGGCGGUCAACGAUGCCGCCGGAUGUACGGAGCUUGAGCACGUCCACGGCGGUUCCCGCCGCUGCCAGUGAUGCUGACGGCGCCGACGUGGCGGCAGCGGCGGUGCGCGACCCAUCCCGCAUCCGCAACUUCGCCAUCAUCGCCCACAUCGAUCACGGCAAGACGACCCUCAUGGAUCGGCUACUGGCUGCAUGCGGCCACGGCAGCUCGGAGGACAGGGCCAUGGACAGCCACUCCCUGGAGCGGGAGAGGGGAAUCACCAUCCUAGCAAAGGUAGAGGGACAUUGUACGGCAAUUGACGCGCAAAUGAGUCACUCCUCACGGUGCGGGUGCUGCCGCCAGCGGGCCAGCAGUGCAAGCUGGGGCUGUGGAUUCUCCGCUAUUGAACAGCGACCAGCGCCCCACCUGGCCAGCUCAACCUCAAUCACAUCCCGCCGCGAGAGACGAGCCGUAUCAGGUCAAAGGGGGGAACCGGUCCCUGGGGCGGAGGGAGGAGAGGGACUGAAAAUGCACAUUGGGGAAAUGGCGCUGCUAUCUUUUCACAAGCGCAUGAUUCCCCCGUGUCGUACAGGUGACGAGUUUUACCUGGGGUGGAUUCCACAUCAACGCGGUGGACACGCCGGGACAUGCGGACUUUGGCGGCGAAGUAGAACGGUACGACAUUACGACAUUGUUGUACAGCCGUACAGCAACGUGGAGGAGUUCCACAGUAGAGUCCCGAUGAUGCUUCCUUGUGCAGCGGGGGCGGUAAAGCCCACUUCUCAACAACAGUAAGAGCAGCAGCGGCAACAGCAGCAGCAAGAACGAUUACAACAAUAAUACGGACAGAAACAACUGGGAUUGGAGAGAGAGCUUCGAAGAGGCCAUAAGCAAAUGUUUUUCGGUUCAUCAAGCGCGCUUAACUGUACGUAGUUGCCCAGGACGACUACCGGUUCCAUACACAGUCAGCUCUUACCGGCGGAUAUGGACAGACAUACAGACGUACAGAUGCUCAAACCUAAGGCCCUAGAGGGGCUUAUCCUUUGAGGGUGUAGCCAAGUGGUGUGUACAGCCACCACACUGGCCAACACAUUUCUGGGUUGUGUCACUGGGCUAGAUUACAGCUGAGUGAGAGAGCGGAGAAGGGGGAGGGUGCUGGCUCCAGGGGGCUCUCGCUCGGCUCUCAGCUACUGCAGCUCGGCUACUGCCCCCACCGCCUCCCUCCGUCUGCGCUCCUCUCCGCUCCUCUCAGAGUCCCAGGUUGUCGGACCCGCUUAGCGCCCGGCAACCUCUGGAAGCGACCUGCAAUCCCCCGUCACAACUUCCAGAUCGCAAAAAGACCCACGCCACGUUCGCCAUCAUUUACGCCCCCAGCUUUUUGUCAUUUUCUUCCCAAACCUUUUCCUAGCGCUCUUUUUGGAUAUCGGCAAAAUGCCUCCCCUGUCCGCAGUGUGCUUGGGCUGGUCGACGGGUGCGUGCUGUUGGUGGAUGCGGCCGAGGGGCCCCUGGCCCAGACCAAGUACGUGGUGGCCAAGGCGCUGGAGAGGGGCCUGAAACCCUUGGUGGUGCUAAACAAGGUGAGGGGGAGGGGGCGGAGGGGGAGGGGGCGGAGGGGGAGGGGGAGGGGGCGGAGGGGGAGGGGGAGGGGGCGGAGGGGGAGGGGGCGGAUGGGGAGGGGGAGGGGGCGGAGGGGGAUGGCCAAUAAGCGGGGAGUAUGGGGCCUUAGGGAAUGAGAUUAGGGGGCGGCGGGAAGAGGAGGAAGGAGAGCUCUGGAAGGAGAACCCACCCGCUCAAACCUCAGGCAGGUUGUUAGGGGGAGAGAUGUGGGGAGAGGGGGUUGGAGAGAGUUACAAAAUGGUCGGAAAGGGCGAGGACGAGUUCCGCACGAGUGGGGGGGUUGGGGCCGUCCGUAAAAGGCAGCCUGCGGGGGGAGGGGGGCAGCCAUGGACAGGUCGUACUGACGAAGCGCAAGCAGUCGAAGGGGGCGGCGGACGGACUCAGCUGUGGUGAGACCCAGUGGUAAGUACGACGUACGACGUACGACGUACGACGUACGACCCACUUCCUGUUUCCGAUCUGCUUUCAGCCGAAUGGGGUUGGGGGCGGCGCAGUGGAGUGUAUCGCUGCAUUGCUGUUUCCAUGUUUCCCACCCCCACCCCCACCCCCGGGUGCGCACCUCUCCUCCUCCUCCUCCUCCUCCUCUUCCUGCACACCACAACCCCCGAAUUCGUUAUACAUGUAACCCCCCCGGCUAUUCGUACACUAUGAUGUAUUAACACCAACACGUCCCCCGGCCUGCCCUGUCCGUCUCUCCCCAUCCCUCCCUCCAUUCCACCUGCUCCACCGUCUCUCUGAUCCUGCCCUUACCCCUCUCCGCCCCCCCCCCGGCAGGUGGACCGCCCCGCCGCCACCCCGGAGCGAUGUGCCGCCGUCGCCAACUCCCUCCUGGACCUGUUCGUGUCCCUGGGGGCCUCGGACGAGCAACUAGACUUCCCGCUGCUGUACGCCUCCGCGAAGCAGGUAGGAAGUGUGCCCCUCCUGCCGUCACGGGCGUAUAUAAGCUGAGGUCGUGAAUGUAGCUCGCACAGCACAAGAGGUCCCGUCGCUCGCAUUUUUCUUACCCCGUCUCCCCCUUCUCCCCCGCCUCCCCCGCCUCGCCCACCUCGCCCGCUAGCCAUCUCUGAGCCCAUGCCUGGCCAUCGACACUUGUACCUGCACCUUGUACAGGCAUGUGCCGUAGUUGGCGACCUCCGACCUCUUUGGCGCUGCAUCCCUAAACAGACCUCCCGCGUUCCCCGCCCUCUCCCCCCCUACCCCCGCACACACACGUACACACCAGGGCUGGUCCAGUCGUACUCUCCCCACCCAGCAUGGCCAGCAGCUGCUUGGGCAGAGGGACACGGAACCAAUAUCCCCCCCCUCCUCCCCCCCCUCCGCCGCCGCCGCGUCGUCGCCGUCCCCGAGUAGUAGUGGUAACAGUGGUGGCGGUGGCGGUGGUAUGGCUCCGUUGUUGGACGCCAUUGUGGCUCACGUGCCGUCCCCCGCCGGCCGGGGGGAUCUGGAGGGGCCAUUCGCUCUGCGAGUGGCCAUGAUCGAGAGGGACCCCUACGUGGGGCGGAUCGCCACGGGCGCGUGUGCGUGUGUGUUUUGGCGGAGGGGAUGGGGGUGGGGGUGGGGGUGGGGCAUAAAGCGGACGGGACUUAGGGGAUAUCGAGGAAGGGAAGGGGACGUUUAGCAGUUAAGGAAGGAUGUCGGGUAACUGAAUCUUACUAUUAGAUAUCCUUGCCGUACAGCCAGUGGCGGCUGUUGCUUUGUGUGCACGUGGCCACCGUGUCCAUCCAUCCAUUCCAUCCCCCCCGUUCUGUCUCCGCAUGGCAUGCGUGGGUGCUGUACACCGUUUUACUGCCGUACAACACGACCGUGGUGCCGGCCCCCCAGGCCGCAUCGCGUCCGGCAAAGUCCGUAUCGGCGACAAGGUGAGUACGGCGAUCGAGUACGACAGACCUGUCUCCUUGCAUGCUGUAGGUUUUAGUAACAAGUUUCGAGAUUGUCUAGGUUACUGCGAGUUCUCGGCAUCCAUCCACAUGCGCAUCCUCCCCGCAAUCCCCUUCUUAACCCCGCUAUGAUUUCCCCCCCUCACUCACACACACACACACACACACGCACACACGUCCCCUUGCAUACAACUCCCCCUUUCCCCCCACUCCCCCCCCCAUCCCCUGGUGUGUCCAGGUUCGUGUACUGAGCUACGAGGCGGGAGGUCCGGUGGGGGGCGAGGUGCGCAUCACCCGCAUAUCCAAGAGGGCGGGAAUGGACAAGGUAGGCGGGUGUGUGUAUGCGUGUGAACGUGUCUGUUGGGUGCGCGAGUGUAUGUGGCUUGUACGAACUGUGCGGCGGGCAUGGGGUGCUGAGGAUGCGGCUGUGUGUGUGUGUGUGCUUGUGUGUGUCGGUUGAAGGUAGAAGACAUCAAGUACUUGUACGUGUGUAUGUAUGUAUGUGCGUCUGUCUUAAGAGGCCGGACUGCAGCGUCAUCACACGCGGGCAUAUGUAGGUUGCUCGCUCCAGGUGUUUGAGUUAUUUUGCCCUUCCCUCUUUUUUCUGCUGUGUUGGGGUGUGUGGACUGGGGGGCAGCAUCAGUUGCCUGCGUUUUUGAAACGUGGUGCCGGUCCGUGACUGGACCAUGAAUGCCGUGGUGUCUGAGUGGCUGUGUGGUUCUGAAGAGUCAGAGCCGCGUGUGACGUGCGGUGUGCGUCGCGUGCUGGCCGAGUGUGUUUUUUGUACCGUUGCGAGUCUCGUUUUUCCUACCCCACAUGUACGACAAAACCCCAGACAAGCCCCCCCAGGCGCACGACACUAUCCUAAUUCGUGGAGGACUGGGAGGGCUUGGUACCCUCUUUUUAACGCGCUGCGUGUUUGCUGCGUUACCCUUGCCGACAUGUAAAACGUCCCUGUCCCAUUUUUGCGGUAUUCCUGCCUGCCUUGCUUCCGACGUGCUGGAUCAGGCCUUUCCGUUCCUGCUAAUCCCUAAUCCCCAUGUUUGCGUUGUUUAUUUUUAUGUUGUACCCACCUUCCUCCCGUCAAUUCGCCAACUUCCCUGAUUCCCAGCUCCCAACCGCAUCUGUGUAUGCCGCAAAACCUCCUGCCGUACAUUGCACGGCCGUUCACAGAUCCCGCUGGAGGAGGCUGUAGCGGGGGACAUCGUGUCUGUAGCGGGGCCAGGUGGGGCCGACGAGGGGCUAGGAGGGAAAUACACAUGCACACAUACGCAUCCUCAUAGCACUUCCCCCCCCGGCUCAGGUCGUAAAAGCACACACACACACACACACACACACACACUUCCCCACUCUCCACAUCACUCCAUCACUCUCUACACCCCCCUUGCCUUCCCUCCCCCCUCCCCCCCCACACACUCACACACUUUCGGUCAGUUCUUUCGGUUGCUACUUUCUUACCCUGGCAGCAGCUUUAAUCGCGUGUGGUUCGUCUUUCCCCACACACUCACUCACUCAGGCGCCGCCAGCAUUGCCGACACCAUCGCCUCCCCCGAGCUGUCGACCCCCCUGGACCCGGGUCGAGUGGACCCGCCCACCCUUGCAAUGGUACGACGUAGCCUGACCCCCCGUGAGGAGGGGUGUCCUACCAACCACCGUGACCUGCGUGAACCCGGUGUCUUUAUCUCUCGGCCCAUCUGAACCCUCUUAAACCACAAGCCUUCCCGUCUUUACUGUUCGCCCUUCCCCCUCCCUACCUGGCCUCCCCUCCGUACUUGCCCUCCCCAAUGUAUUAUACCGCCCAUGUAGUACCCUGCCCUCCAUAUCUGAAAGCCCCAAUCCCCCUGCGGGCCCGCCAAAACACACACAUACACACACACGCCGAGUUCCGCUUGCCUUGUUCCCUAAACCCACUUCCCUUCCGGCCCUCUCCUCUCUCCCUUCCGGGAUUCGCGACGUCGGCAGUUGCGAGGCUUUGACACCAAUAGGUUUAGUGUGUAACCCCUCCCUCCCCUGGCCCUGGACCCCGUUCUGCCCGGCGCUGCCCCCUCAGGUGUUCGGCCCCAACGACUCCCCCCUGGCGGGGCGGGCGGGUAAGGCCCUCACCGGCCGGGCCAUCGGGGAGCGGCUGAUGGCGGAGGCGGAGACGAGCGUCAGUCUGAAGGUGGUGCCGGUGCCGGGUAAGGGGAGGGGGUAGGGAAAGGGGGAAAGGGGAUUGAAUGAGAGGGAAGGGGGGAGGGAAGGAGGUUGGGGGGACGUUACUACCACCUAGCCCCUACUGAUUUCUCAGCGAGCUUGCGGAGGAUCGGUCUUUGUCGCAAUUAUACGAAGAGGGCGAGGAAAGUACUACCGGGCCACUGGUUGGUCGGGUGGUCGACUGUUACCUCCCUCCCCCCCUCCCCGCUCCCCUUCCUCACCACAACACACACAAACACACAGACAACGGUACUCGUCGUAGCAUCCCCACGCGGCUCUCAGAGCAUUCCCUUCUAACACACUCAUAUAUACGGUCGGAACAUUAUUUAUUCUUAACUUUCAGGACCAUGAACAAUUUUUUAUUCCGAAUUCGGAAUAAUAUUCCGCAAAAAAAUAUCUCUGGUACGUACAUACGCACGCGCAGGUGGCAUGGAGCGUUACGAGGUUCAAGCUCGUGGGGAGUUGCAGCUGGGCGUGUUGAUUGAGGGUAUGAGGAGGGAGGGGGCGGAGCUGGCGGUGUCGCCGCCGCAGGUGCUGCUCAGGUAGGUUACGAGGACCGCUGGGAAAAGGUGGGCCUUACACUUUACGGUUUGGGUAUUGUAGGGAUUUAGAGGGGCUUUCCAUGCUGGGCAGGGCGUUAUGCUGCUUCCUGGCUAUUAGGGCUUCCUUUUGCUGUCAGUCAGCGAUGCAGCGUGAGAUGUGGCGUGAUGUGACGUCGUUGGGCGAGCCCUGACUCCAGCCGUCGAUCUCAGUUCCCCCAACCUCCCCCCCAACUUGUCGUGCUGCCGCACCAAGCUGCCUUACCUGGCUGUCUGCCUGUGUUUACGGCACCCGGGGUUUGCUCCAGGAGUCCCCCCUUUCCCUUUUCCCUAUUCGUGCUUCAGUAUCCUUCUAUCCCUAGGGUAUCAGCUUCCAGCUCGUGUGUGUGUGAUUCGUCUCCUUCCCUCCUUUGUACCUCCUCUUUUGAUCCUAAUUAGGCAACCUGCUGACUGCCGGCUGCUGUCUAGUUGGCUGUUUGUCCUGUAUACCCCUAUACCCCUUCGCCCCCGCCUCCCUGUCCGUAUGUAUGUAAGCGACUGCUGCUCAAAAUGCGUGGUGUUGUGUGUGUUUUGCGUGUUUCAGGCGGGAGGGCGGUCAGGUGUUGGAGCCUGUUGAGGAGGUGGUGGUGGAGGUGGCGGAGGAGGUGGCGGGGUCGGUGAUCGAGGCGCUGUCCCAGCGGCGGGCCGAGCUCACGGACAUGACACCGCUGCCCGAGUCGGGUGAGAGGGAGGGCGGGAGGGCGCGGGAGACAUUAGGGGGAGGGGAGGAAGAGGGAAUAUGUUUUUAUAAAGAUCUUUGGAUAUGUUUCAUACCAGAUUGUGCUGCGAGUAGAAACAUGGGGAAAGGAGAGAGAGCUUGUGUGUGUAUUGGGGGAGUGGUUGCGGGGAGGGCUUGCCCAGGGGUGGGCGGGAGGGGAAGGGAGUUGGUGUUUUUGGUUGUUCGUACCCGGGCUUAGAGGGAGUGUUUGGGUCUGGGGCUGGGUCUGCGCGACUCCGCAAACCCUGGUUUUCCCCCCUCCCCUCCCCUCCCCUCCCCUCCCCUCCCCUCCCUGGGUGCUCUUCACUCUCCUCCAUUUCAUCAGCUUCUUCUUCUCCUCAUUCUACAUCCCCCCUCCCGCUGCUCGUUCGGGGGUGUAUAUAAACACUUUGUCAGUCCCUUCCUCCCUCUGCCCUCCUCUCGCUCCCCCUCCCUUUACCCCCCCCCCCCCACAUACAUACACACACGCCUCUGGGCCUCUGUCCGGGGCAGGCAAGCAGCGACUCACCUUCGUCGCACCCUCCCGGGGUCUCAUCGGAUUCAAGUGAGGGGGGAAAUGGGGGGAAGAACGUGUGCGUGUGUAUUGGGGGAAGGAAAGGGAGUUUCACAUGUUCCACACGUUUCAUGUGGUGUACAUGGGCUUCUGUCUGUUGCAGUUGUGGAUGUGGAUGGGGGAUCUACGGCAUUACGGUUGCUCGGGGGGCAGGCAGGUCGUCCGGCGGUUCAGUUGGGAUAUAGUGGAAUGUGAGAGCCUUAUGAACCGGAUACAUAUAUGUGCGUAAUGUGGAUAUACAUGUAUAUAUGUAUAUAUGUAUAUGUAUACAUACUGGGUAUAUAUAUCAUCUUUCCUUCUGCUGUUGCCCGUGCUUUCCUGGGUGAUGCAGCUCCCAGCUGCCUGUCCUCCUAACAACGUAUUGCUCGGUACUCAUCUCCGCUUGCCACACAUCGCCGCCGCCGUGUGCCCUGUGUGCGUGUGUGUAUGUGUAUGUGUAUGGGUGCGUCCUGCAGGAGCUUGUUCGUACACCUAACCCGGGGAGAAGGCAUCAUGACCCGGGUGUUCAUGAGCUACUCGCCGCACAAGGGACCCCUGGGGGGUGUGCGCAAGGGUGCGGGAGGAGGGUGGGGAGGGGGAGGGGANNNNNNNNNNNNNNNNNNNNNNNNNNNNNNNNNNNNNNNNNNNNNNNNNNNNNNNNNNNNNNNNNNNNNNNNNNNNNNNNNNNNNNNNNNNNNNNNNNNNNNNNNNNNNNNNNNNNNNNNNNNNNNNNNNNNNNNNNNNNNNNNNNNNNNNNNNNNNNNNNNNNNNNNNNNNNNNNNNNNNNNNNNNNNNNNNNNNNNNNNNNNNNNNNNNNNNNNNNNNNNNNNNNNNNNNNNNNNNNNNNNNNNNNNNNNNNNNNNNNNNNNNNNNNNNNNNNNNNNNNNNNNNNNNNNNNNNNNNNNNNNNNNNNNNNNNNNNNNNNNNNNNNNNNNNNNNACGCGAUUGGGUUAGUGGGUGGGGUGGGGGGACGUGGUUGGAGACUGAGCUGCAUGCGGAUAACCUUAAGGCGGUGUGUGUGUGUGUGUGUGUGUGUGCGUGUGUGUGUGCGUGUGUGUGUGUGAGUGUGUGUGUUUUAAGUGUUCUAUGUUGUACACCUCGUGACCUGGGGGAAUGACCACCUCAAAAAGGGGGCGAGAUCUCUCCUCUCUCCGACACGAGCCGAGCCGCCACACCUCCAGAUCCGCUACCCCCUAGUCUGCCGUCAUUACCACGCCCCCCUUGCUGUACCUGUGCUGCCACCACUUCCCGCCCUAGCCCCUCCCCACCCCACCCCUUCCCCCCCCCACACAUCUCUCCCCCCACCACCCCCGCCACUUCCCCCCCCUCGCUCUCCCCUCUCCGGCGUGUAGCUAUGUGGCGGCUGACGAGUUGAUCGAGGUAACCCCAGCUGCCGUACGCAUCCGUAAAGAAACUCUGGAUGCGGGAGCGAGGAGGCUGAGGGCUAAGCGGCAACAACAGCAACAGCAGCAACAGUAGCAGAAGCAGCAAUAGCAGCAGCUGCAGCUGUGAUGAUUGUACUAGACGUGAUGACUGCAGCAGUUUUAUAGCAGCGGUUUCAUGUCAGGGAGAAUGGCUGUGCGCACGUGUGUGCGUGUGUGUGUCCGUUCCUCCUGGGAUUUGAUCCGUUGAUUACUGUGUGUGUGGAUUGGUAGGUAGGCUCCAAUCCAAUCGUACACCAAGAUAGAGGACACGCCAGAUCUGUCGGGUGGAGUACUGGGACAGCGCUUCCCUUCCGAUUAGGAGCUCUCAUGCAAAAUAUAAUGGGAUAGAAGAAGGAGGAGAAGGAGAAGAAGCGAUUCCGUUAGCAUAACGUCAGGGUGGAGUGGAGCGUCAACACGCUUCUCCCCCCCCUCCACACACACACACAAACACACACGGGCGACAGCUACUGAGGGCCCACCACUCCCCCUCCCGGCCAAUCCCCCGCGCCACCGCACUCACCCUCCGCCACUCCGCCGCGUGCUCCAGCACUCCACCAUACCAACCACCCGCACACGCUGCCGGGCAAUCAUGAACGCCAGUGUGUGCACCGAAAGCAGUUCAUUUCCUCCCAAGGUGAUACGGCCAUCCGGGAUACCGCAAAGUCCAUAUAAAACAGCCACAGCACAGCAAUGAUAGUAGUAAUGAUAACUUUAACCAUCCUGGCCAUGUAAUGAUGAUGAUGGGUACGUGGAUGGACAGGUGGUAGGUAACCGCCUCGGGCCGUCAGUCUGGUGCGAGCUCCGGUGCCAGGGGGGUCGUGAGGGGGAACGGGUGUGAUAGGUACACACACAUGGGAUAGAUACACACACAUACAGAUAAACAAGCUCGUCUGUCGGACUUACAAGGCCAUCAAGUAAUUAUGGUAGAAGUAAGUACGGUGCACCGUCAUGAUCUUCUGAUGGCCACGUCGGCAUCGUCAUUGUCAUCCUGGGGUUGUAGCUGGCGGUGAUUGCCGGCCCGUCCGCUACGACGGAGUUGUUGCAUGUCGUCGUGAUGUGCUACCGUACAGUGUCGUACAGACGUGUUAGUGGCAGACAUGCUAAGGGUGGGCGGGUGUGAGCGUCGUGCUUCUUUAAGAUUUCUGUUGGCUCGCUGCUGGGGUUGGUGGCGGUUAUGGUGGUUGUGACGGUCAUGGUGGUUUUAGAAUGUGUUCGUGCAGGUGCUGCUGGUAUUGAAUGUCAUUGUUGAUGCGCGUGUUUCACUGUUGCGUGCCGGUGUGUGCGUACACUGAUCCGUAUGUAUGUGUGUUGCAUGGGCGGGAAGGGGAAAAACGUACAUGUAUUUCCCUGACAUUAUCGAUUCAUAUGUAUCCUGCUUAACAUGAUUUACACUGAAAUUCUUUAGGAAAUUGAUUGACAAUCACGAAUGGUGAAGCGCAAUGCAAAACUACGAAGCAAUACACCUCUUUCUCCUUUCUGUCUUCCGCCUUAAAACGCCCUAAAAGGUGGGCAAGAACCUAGAUGAAAUGGACGAGCAUGCUCGGAUUGAGGCACAUGGCCGAGUGGCUUGCUGAGUGCGCGGGUGGCUGGUGGCUUGUGAAUGGUGGGCGGUGGCUGGCUGGCUGAGUGAUGGGCGGGUACGGAUGUUUAGAAACCAUGGGGAAAAGGGUGCAGGCUCUGUUCUCCCACAAAAGCCUUAACCCUCUACAUUCCUUUUCGAACGGAUUGCAUUGCGGUACAUCAGCAGGUACGGCAGUGUUAAGGAGAUGAUGCAGGCGGCGGAAGAAGGAGGUGCCGGUACGGUGGCUGCUGGCCGCCGAGGCGAGGCACCCAGUGGUGUUUACGUGGUGUACAGUGAAGUGAAGUUUCCCAUCAGCUGUGACUGAUGCACAACGGCCCACUGUCAUCAUGGUUCGCGAUAUUGAGAUGUUGCUUUACGUGGAGGUGAGGCAGAAGAUUGCUCUCUUGGGCUGCGUACGGCGACGCACCUGGGGACGCCAGCGAUGAGGAUGACAUCCCAGGACGAGGACGAGGGCACCACAGGGGGGGAGCUGACGGCCAGGAAGAAGGUGCAUUCCGCGACAGCAGCAUCCGGGACAUGGCCAAGCAGCAUGUUGGUCAACGGGUGCAUGCGGUCGCUGGUCCCUCCUCCGUCGCCGCAGACCAUGCGGGAAUGGCCUUGUGGACCACAGCUCAGGUCGCGUGACGGCAGCCGUACGUGGGUACGGCACCUCGCCUGCGACGCCGCCGCGCUGAUUGUCCCAUACAGUGGCUGCCGGCACCACCCCAUGCUGCCGCCAGCUUUGGCGAUCAUCAUCAGCGCCAUCAGCGCCAUUGUGCGGUGGAGAAGGUGCGGUAGCCGUUGACCUUCAGUUUCGUGGCAGGUCUCUCCUGGUUGCGGCUUUCACAACCGGAAAGCGCGGAGACGUGCUAAUCCCGAGGUGAACAUAUAUACAUACAUACAUCUCGACUAGCGCUCACCCCUCAUCAUGGCUGAGACUGUCCGGAUGUGACGGGGAAAGCAAAUCGACACAUCGACAUGCUUCGACGACUGUCAUGACGAGGACCGGUGUGUGUAUGUUGUUACAGGGUGGUAUAGCUUCAUUAGCGGCCCCCUUUCUUGAGACAGUUCCCUGCUCUCCCCUGCGAGAGGGGCACCCUAAUCCGCUCAACCCAUCCGACUUCAGAGUGUACUCUUUGAGUUUAGCAACUCACCACCAGCAUCGUACCAAAUCUAGCGGAUCAACGGCACCUCAACUUAGUUCCUGAUUCGCUCACAAGUUGAUAUUAUCACGUCCUACACCGUCCAUAAGAUGGGAGGCCACCUCCCAUUUCACACUCCUCGAAUACCUGAGGAGCCGGCAGGCGGAUGUGAACCCGGACACCAGGAGCAGAAAUCAGACCUUAACCUCUGCCAGCCGCCUGCCACGGUGUGUGGCUUGGGGGGGAUGAACGAGUCAUAGUCAGGGACAUUUUGUUUAUGGUUGGGUCGAAGUUAAAGUAAGAUUUGGCUUUGGGUUUCUCCAAUGCAAUCCCUGAUGACAUCCACUUUCUCCUCGUGAGCAAUAUCCCCGCACCUGCUCCCGUGCCCUGUGCCCCGACGACGUACGGCAGCCGCCCCGAUGAUGCAGCUGCUCCUCGCCGCUGCCAACGGCUCCGGGGACAUGUAUCGAUCUGCCGCCGCCAUCGCCGCCGGUGGUGGCGGCUGCGGCUGCGGCUGCGGCGGCUGCGGCGGCGGUCCUGCCACCACCACUUCCGCUGUCGGCGGCGCUGGCUGCGGCGCCACCUUACCGUACUCCGUACCUGGCCUGCACGCCGUGGAUCGUGAAGAGCUGCUGCUGCAGGUAUUCGAGUGCCAACUGACGCGACGGUAACUUGUACUGCAGUAACAUUAGUAGUAAGGGUGCAGGAUGCAGCAGCAGUGGAGCAUUAGCUAUUUCGAUUUGUGUGUGUCAUCCUUGCACAGGGGCCAUUAGCGAUUGCUGCGGCAGCGAAGUGGAGCAUCGUAGCUCGUUACCUGCCUAGGCUCUGGAUGGAUGGAUGUUACAAGCUUCAGCGAGCUCGUACGGCCCAAACGAACCCGGAGGCUCAUGAACCGCUUUGACAGCGCCGUCGAUAGGAAAAAGAAAAAAGAGAGAAAGUAAACGAAACAAACAAACAAACAGAAAAAGAAAGUUUUACGCGAGAAGAAAUCGAGUGUUUAUGAGAAAGAAAAGCGUCAAUUUGACCCUGAAAACACAAUUGCCUGUUAUCGCCGAGAAAGUUAGGUAGCUAGGUGCUCAUGUCCGGAGCGGAACAUCUCAAAAAUUGCAUUUGCAAGACCGCACUGAUCAUCCACUUGCAUGGUAUCACGGAUAUCCGCGUUGACGGGCACACCGAGGUCCCAUAGCUUCUGACGUGCAGACACAAUCGCCGGACAUUCUACCAAAAGAUGUUUCUCAUCCUCAAUAGCUCCAUUGCUACAACACACAGCGCACACGCGACGCUCCCUAAUCCUGUUGCUCUCACUGUUGACCGCCAAGUCGGAGACACACAAACGAAAACGGAUGAGGGCACGAUGAUGCGCCGGGGGGAUAUAACCCGCGUACGGCUUCGGUGGCCCCAUCCAGUGCUUAUGACGGCGCAUCUUCACGCCGGGCUUCCUACCGUCCGUAACGAAAACUCUAGGGUCCACAGCCAGCCUAUCAUUCGCCCAAUCAUCGUUGACACGUGCCCUAAGGGUGUCCAUCAGCGCUUCGACAUCAAGCUUGCAAGCCGAGGAACGUCUAACCCUCAUAUCAAUGCCUCCCCCGAUUGCCUCCUCACCCCUAGGCUCUGGCAUAGGCACGUUGCCGUACCUGAUCCUGGCUCGUAUCUUGAUGGUGUCAUGGCUUGGAUGUACAUCUACGUGUACUACAUGUACGACACAUGGUUACAUNNNNNNNNNNNNNNNNNNNNNNNNNNNNNNNNNNNNNNNNNNNNNNNNNNNNNNNNNNNNNNNNNNNNNNNNNNNNNNNNNNNNNNNNNNNNNNNNNNNNNNNNNNNNNNNNNNNNNNNNNNNNNNNNNNNNNNNNNNNNNNNNNNNNNNNNNNNNNNNNNNNNNNNNNNNNNNNNNNNNNNNNNNNNNNNNNNNNNNNNNNNNNNNNNNNNNNNNNNNNNNNNNNNNNNNNNNNNNNNNNNNNNNNNNNNNNNNNNNNNNNNNNNNNNNNNNNNNNNNNNNNNNNNNNNNNNNNNNNNNNNNNNNNNNNNNNNNNNNNNNNNNNNNNNNNNNNNNNNNNNNNNNNNNNNNNNNNNNNNNNNNNNNNNNNNNNNNNNNNNNNNNNNNNNNNNNNNNNNNNNNNNGCAGUUCAUUUCCUCCCAAGGUGAUACGGCCAUCCGGGAUACCGCAAAGUCCAUAUAAAACAGCCACAGCACAGCAAUGAUAGUAGUAAUGAUAACUUUAACCAUCCUGGCCAUGUAAUGAUGAUGAUGGGUACGUGGAUGGACAGGUGGUAGGUAACCGCCUCGGGCCGUCAGUCUGGUGCGAGCUCCGGUGCCAGGGGGGUCGUGAGGGGGAACGGGUGUGAUAGGUACACACACAUGGGAUAGAUACACACACAUACAGAUAAACAAGCUCGUCUGUCGGACUUACAAGGCCAUCAAGUAAUUAUGGUAGAAGUAAGUACGGUGCACCGUCAUGAUCUUCUGAUGGCCACGUCGGCAUCGUCAUUGUCAUCCUGGGGUUGUAGCUGGCGGUGAUUGCCGGCCCGUCCGCUACGACGGAGUUGUUGCAUGUCGUCGUGAUGUGCUACCGUACAGUGUCGUACAGACGUGUUAGUGGCAGACAUGCUAAGGGUGGGCGGGUGUGAGCGUCGUGCUUCUUUAAGAUUUCUGUUGGCUCGCUGCUGGGGUUGGUGGCGGUUAUGGUGGUUGUGACGGUCAUGGUGGUUUUAGAAUGUGUUCGUGCAGGUGCUGCUGGUAUUGAAUGUCAUUGUUGAUGCGCGUGUUUCACUGUUGCGUGCCGGUGUGUGCGUACACUGAUCCGUAUGUAUGUGUGUUGCAUGGGCGGGAAGGGGAAAAACGUACAUGUAUUUCCCUGACAUUAUCGAUUCAUAUGUAUCCUGCUUAACAUGAUUUACACUGAAAUUCUUUAGGAAAUUGAUUGACAAUCACGAAUGGUGAAGCGCAAUGCAAAACUACGAAGCAAUACACCUCUUUCUCCUUUCUGUCUUCCGCCUUAAAACGCCCUAAAAGGUGGGCAAGAACCUAGAUGAAAUGGACGAGCAUGCUCGGAUUGAGGCACAUGGCCGAGUGGCUUGCUGAGUGCGCGGGUGGCUGGUGGCUUGUGAAUGGUGGGCGGUGGCUGGCUGGCUGAGUGAUGGGCGGGUACGGAUGUUUAGAAACCAUGGGGAAAAGGGUGCAGGCUCUGUUCUCCCACAAAAGCCUUAACCCUCUACAUUCCUUUUCGAACGGAUUGCAUUGCGGUACAUCAGCAGGUACGGCAGUGUUAAGGAGAUGAUGCAGGCGGCAGAGGAAGGAGGUGCCGGUACGGUGGCUGCUGGCCGCCGAGGCGAGGCACCCAGUGGUGUUUACGUGGUGUACAGUGAAGUGAAGUUUCCCAUCAGCUGUGACUGAUGCACAACGGCCCACUGUCAUCAUGGUUUGCGAUAUUGAGAUGUUGCUUUACGUGGAGGUGAGGCAGAAGAUUGCUCUCUUGGGCUGCGUACGGCGACGCACCUGGGGACGCCAGCGAUGAGGAUGACAUCCCAGGACGAGGACGAGGGCACCAAAGGGGGGGAGCUGACGGCCAGGAAGAAGGUGCAUUCCGCGACAGCAGCAUCCGGGACAUGGCCAAGCAGCAUGCUGGUCAACGAGCAGCGGCAACGGCUGCCGUGGCCAGCAGCAGCAAGGAUGCGGUCACUGGUCCCUCCUCCGUCUCCACAGACCAUGCGGGAAUGGCCUUGUGGACCACAGCUCAGGUCGCGCUUAGGUCAGCGCUUCAGUUGCGCACCACUUGGCCAGCGGCAGUCUGAACAUCCUCCCAGGAGUAUGAGACGGAGUCGUGGAAACCUUGCGGGCUGGCAGUGUAAAUGUGUCGGUGCAGCUAUGUACGACAUGUCCAGCAGUCCCGGUGGCAGUGGCAGCACCAGUGGACCAGGUGACGGCGGCCGUACGUGGGUACGGCACCUCGCCUGCGACGCCGCCGCGCUGAUUGUCCCAUACAGUGGCUGCCGGCACCACCCCAUGCUGCCGCCAGCUUUGGCGAUCAUCAUCAGCGCCAUCAGCGCCAUUGUGCGGUGGAGAAGGUGCGGUAGCCGUUGACCUUCAGUUUCGUGGCAGGUCUCUCCUGGUUGCGGCUUUCACAACCGGAAAGCGCGGAGACGUGCUAAUCCCGAGGUGAACAUAUAUACAUACAUACAUCUCGACUAGCGCUCACCCCUCAUCAUGGCUGAGACUGUCCGGAUGUGACGGGGAAAGCAAAUCGACACAUCGACAUGCUUCGACGACUGUCAUGACGAGGACCGGUGUGUGUAUGUUGUUACAGGGUGGUAUAGCUUCAUUAGCGGCCCCCUUUCUUGAGACAGUUCCCUGCUCUCCCCUGCGAGAGGGGCACCCUAAUCCGCUCAACCCAUCCGACUUCAGAGUGUACUCUUUGAGUUUAGCAACUCACCACCAGCAUCGUACCAAAUCUAGCGGAUCAACGGCACCUCAACUUAGUUCCUGAUUCGCUCACAAGUUGAUAUUAUCACGUCCUACACCGUCCAUAAGAUGGGAGGCCACCUCCCAUUUCACACUCCUCGAAUACCUGAGGAGCCGGCAGGCGGAUGUGAACCCGGACACCAGGAGCAGAAAUCAGACCUUAACCUCUGCCAGCCGCCUGCCACGGUGUGUGGCUUGGGGGUGAUGAACGAGUCAUAGUCAGAGGGACAUUUUGUUUAUGGUUGGGUCGAAGUUAAAGUAAGAUUUGGCUUUGGGUUUCUCCAAUGCAAUCCCUGAUGACAUCCACUUUCUCCUCGUGAGCAAUAUCCCCGCGCCUGCUCCCGUGCCCUGUGCCCCGACAAUGUACGGCAGCCGCCCCGGUGAUGCAGCUGCUCCUCGCUGCUGCCAACGGCUCCGGGGACAUGUAUCGAUCUGCCGCCGCCAUCGCUGCCGGUGGUGGCGGCGGCUGCGGCGGCGGCUGCGGCGGCUGCGGCGGCGGUCCUGCCACCACCACUUCCGCUGUCGGCGGCGCUGGCUGCGGCGCCACCUUACCGUACUCCGUACCUGGCCUGCACGCCGUGGAUCGUGAAGAGCUGCUGCUGCAGGUAUUCGAGUGCCAACUGACGCGACGGUAACUUGUACUGCAGUAACAUUAGUAGUAAGGGUGCAGGAUGCAGCAGCAAUGGAGCAUUAGCUAUUUCGACUUGUGUGUGCCAUCCUUGCACAGGGGCCAUUAGCUAUUGCUGCUCGUUAGCUGCCUAGGCUCUGGCAUAGGCACGUUGCCGUAACUGAUUUUGGCUCGUAUCUUCAUGGUGUCAUGGCUUGGAUGUACAUCUACGUGUACUACAUGUACGACACAUGGUUACAUUCGUUCCUCGCAUGAAAAGACACUGCUGGACCAAGCUGUCAACAUAGCGACGGGGGGAAGGUGUCGCCUCCGGUGGUGCUGCUUCUCGCGGCGGUUGCGAUUGCGGAAGUGCUGCUUCUCGGGGCGCCGGGGGUGGUAGCGGUGCGGCUUCUCGGGGCGCCGGGGGUGGUAGCGGUGCUGCUUCUCGGGGCGCCGGGGGUGGUAGCGGUGCUGCUUCUCGGGGCGCCGGGGGUGGUAGCGGUGCUGCUUCUCGGGGCGCCGGGGGUGGUAGCGGUGCGGCUUCUCGGGGCGCCGGGGUGGUAGCGGUGCUGCUUCUCGGGGCGCCGGGGGUGGUAGCGGUGCUGCUUCUCGGGGCGCCGGGGGUGGUAGCGGUGCUGCUUCUCGGGGCGCCGGGGGUGGUAGCGGUGCUGCUUCUCGGGGCGCCGGGGGUNNNNNNNNNNNNNNNNNNNNNNNNNNNNNNNNNNNNNNNNNNNNNNNNNNCCCCUCACACCCCCUCACACCCCAUACACACACACACACACACACACACACAUACACACACACGCGCGCGGAGAGAAGAGAAAACACCCCGGUGGUUUAUAUAGUCGGUGUAGGACGUGAUUAUAGCAAUUUGCGAUCUGACCAGGAAAUAAGUUGAGGCGCCGUUGAUCCGCUAGAUUUGGUUGGAUGCUGGUGGUGAGUUGCUGAACCCAACGAAUACAUUCUGAAGUCGGAUGGGGUGACGGAUUAGGGUGCCCCUCUAGCAGGGGAGAGCAGGGACUGCCUCGGGAAGGAGGCCACUGGUGAAGCUGUACCACCCUGUAACAACAACAACAACAACAACAACAAUACUCCCACUACAUGUCAUUGCAAGGUACUGCCACUCAUUGACACUAGUUGCGGGCUAGGGUAACCCUGUGUAAGGGCUCUGCAGGUAAAACCCUUUGCGCAACCCCUUAGGAACCCUUUGCCAUCCCUUUCUUCACAUACCCCCAUUCCCCCGUAACCCAAACGUUUCCCUCUUUUCCCUGUGAGUAACCCCUCCCCCUCCACACACGCACACGCACGCAGAUCCCCCGCCUCGUCCCACAAUCCACCCCCAGCACACACAUACACACAAUCCUCGGUUCCCAAGCCUUCCAACCCUUCCCCCCUUCCGUACCUCUGAAACCACGACAGUACGACAUUACCUAGGAGGUUUCCGAGGUGAAGGGAGUCCGCAGUGGGAUCGAAUCCGCAGUAAACGGACAGCGGCCCCUCCGCCCNNNNNNNNNNNNNNNNNNNNNNNNNNNNNNNNNNNNNNNNNNNNNNNNNNNNNNNNNNNNNNNNNNNNNNNNNNNNNNNNNNNNNNNNNNNNNNNNNNNNNNNNNNNNNNNNNNNNNNNNNNNNNNNNNNNNNNNNNNNNNNNNNNNNNNNNNNNNNNNNNNNNNNNNNNNNNNNNNNNNNNNNNNNNNNNNNNNNNNCUAGAGGAUCCCUUUACUCUAAAAUAUCGUUCGGUUUCUCCGAAAAUGCCUUCAAAAGGCUUCGGUGGGGUCCCCGAAAAAAUGCUCCAAAAGGCCCAAAAUCCGUUCGGAAUGCUCCGGGGCGCACUAAUUUUCCUUUCGGGCAAAACGGAAAUAUCUCACGACAGCAGUGUGGCAGCCACACCAACUGCCCGUCUAUCAUCACUCGGAGUUAGGUUAGGUUGGGUUAGGUUAGGGGGUUGCGGGGCGACCUACCGCAAGAAGGCGCGAGUGGAAGGGGGUGAAGAGGUGAGGGGGAGGCGUGUCGGGUGGAUGGAGGUAACGGUGGAGGGUAACCCAAUGGGGGCGUUACGGCCCCGUUGGGUUACACGGGGGUAACCCCGGGCGCGAGGAGAGGGAGACCCUCCCUCCGAAACUUCCCCCCACACAAACGCACAUCUCCCCACACCAGCCAACCGGCCCAUCCGCCCCCCGACCUGGUCAAGGAGGGGUAUCGCCUCAGCAGGACCAACGACAGCUAGGCCGCCGCCGGCACCGCCAGCACCGCUGCCGUGCACAUCGUCGUACUCUCCGCCAUCUUCACCGGUGUCAUCGUCUUCUAAAAGGGACGCUGCUGCCGCCGCUGCACCGGAGCUGGCGGCGCCAGAGCUGACUCCAGCAGCCGCCGGCGCCCCGAGAAGCAGCGCCGCCGCCGCCGCCGCCAGCCAACACACACACACACACACACACACACACACAUACACACAUACACACAUACACACAUACACACACGCGCGCGGGAGAAGAGAAAACACCCCGGUGGUUCAUAUAGACGGUGUAGGACGUGAUUAUAGCAAUUUGCGAGCUGACCAGGAAAUAAGUUGAGGCGCCGUUGAUCCGCUAGAUUUGGUUGGAUGCUGGUGGUGAGUUGCUGAACCCAACGAAUACAUUCUGAAGUCGGAUGGGGUGAACGGAUUAGGGUGCCCCUCUAUCAGGGGAGAGCAGGGACUGCCUCGGGAAGGAGGCCACUGGUGAAGCUGUACCACCCUGUAACAACAACAGCAACAACAAUACUCCCACUACAUGUCAUUGCAAGGUACUGCCACUCAUAGACACUAGUUGGGGCUCUGCAGGUAAAACCCUUUCCGCAACCCCUUAGAAACCCUUUGCCAUCCCUU
rnacentral:lncRNA from 1 species